CACACCGCCCGUCACACCAUGGGAGUUGGUAACGCCCGAAGUCAGUGACCCAACCUUUUAGGAGGGAGCUGCCGAAGGCGGGACUGAUAACUGGGGUGAAGUCGUAACAAGGUAGCCGUAUCGGAAGGUGCGGCUGGAUCACCUCCUUUCUAAGGAA
rnacentral:rRNA from 1 species